GAGUUUACAGAAGUAAAUCAAGAUUGACGUGUUUGUGAACGAUGAAGAUUCAAGACCAAUCAUCACCGAUUCCUAAAUUUUAUGUUACUAGGAUCAAUCAUCCUGUUAUUAUUGUCAUCUAUUUAUAUGUAUACCAUACAACAUUUUGAUUGACAAACCAAGGCGGAUUUGGCGUUGCUGUCUCCGUCAUUCACAAACACGUCGAACUUGGCCUAUUUUCAUGGUUACGGCUUCAGAUUGAAGACAUAUGGUGAGCAUUGGGUUUAGGAAACCGGACCCUUAAUUUCAUCGAGGUAAAAGGUCUUUUUGUGAACCAUCUCAUUUUAGUUGCAAAAUACCAUAAAAUAUGUUACAUUUUGUUACUAUAUUUAUGUUACAAAUCAUUUAUUAUUAAAUUGUUGUAUUCAAAUUUGAUAUAUAUUGAUUAAAGUAGUUGAUGCUUGAUUGUGUGUUCCUGUUUUCUAGGGAUGGCAAUCGAACCUGAUGGGUAAAUUCGAAACUCGAAACAUUUGGGACGGGUUUGGGUCUAGUAAUCGGGUUUGGGAUCGGGUAUGAGAUUAGUUUUAAUUUUUUUCAUGGGUUUGGGAUUUGAUGAUAUACCCAUUUACCUGACUGGAUUACCCGAUAAAGUGUACCCGUUUACCUGACAUAAUUUAUUUCAAUAUUUUAUAUAUAUAAAUAUAAAUAUUCUUUUCUUUUUUAUUAUGGAAACCCAAAAUCCCAAUUCUCAGAUCCCCUGCGUCAUUUUGAAUUAGUCACACAAUGGUUCUUUUCACAUUAUUAGAAACAACAUCGAAGUUAAAUAACAUCAAAGAAAGUUAAAGUUUAAUCUUGUAACUAAGAUUUGGUGCAACUCUUUUUGAAACAUCAAGAUUGUGCUAAGAAUCGUUAAACAUUAGCUUUUGUCAUCUAUAAAUUUGAGUAUUUUUUUUUACAUUUAGGUAUUUUAUAUACUUUGCCAUUAUUUGAUAUAUUUUCGUAAUGAUAAUGCUUUCGUAGUUACCCAAUGGUACCCUACGGGUUUGGGUUGUGUAUACCCAACAGGUAAUUUUUUUAGAUUAACGGGUUUACCCGAUACCCUACCGGUCUUUACCCGAUAGAACUUUGGCGGGUUUUGAGAUGGGUUUAUUUAAUCAGGUUUGAAGUUGAGAUUACCUAAACCCGUCACAUUGCCAUUCCUAGUAUUUCCUAAUUCCUAAUGCUCAAACAUUAUUCUUUGCACUGUUGGAUUUUAAGUCUUUAAAUAUUUGGGCUUGGUAAAACCUAUAUGACUUUAGGCCUCUUUUGGUCGAUCAUUGUUUUUUUUUUUUUUUUUUUUUUUUUUUUUUUUUUUUUUUUUUUUUUUUGCCUAAGUUAUAAACCUAUGUUUUGUGCUGAGCAUAAUAAAGAAUAUCUGAUUGUAGCUCAUGAAGGUAGGAUUCAUACCGAAUCCAAACUAUAUAAAUUAUCAUGUUGCUUUUUAUUGCUUUUGCGUGUGUAUGUGUUUCCCCAACCUUCAUAUUAAGAAAAUAGCAAGAUACCUUAAUAUUAAAAUAAUUUAUUUUUAUUAUUGAAUAUAACCAUAAAGAUCAGACCAUGAAAACAAAUUAACUUGCAUAACAGUACAAGAACAACUCCCGGUAGUGACCAAUGCAACGCCGUUCUGGGACAUGGUGAAAAAGGUGAACGAGGCCAAUGGUUCAACAACAUUGAAAAAAAAAAACUAUUCUUUAUGCCUCCAUUUGGAAGAUCUGGAAGACCCGAAACGAUUGCAUUUUUAAUAGCAUCUCGUUUUCAGUUUUGAAAGCCGUAGAUGGCAUAAAGGACUCGUUUAUGUGGCCUAAACAAAGAGCGCCUUUUAGUUAUUUAGUUUGGGAGAGAUGGAGGGAUUUUAAUGUCCGGGAUAUUAUUGUCUAAUGUUCGUUUUUUCUUUUAGAACUUCCAGCUUCAUAUUCUAUUUUAUGAUCUAAUAAUAAAAUAGCCACCGUUUGGAAAAAAAAAAUUACAAGAACAACUUUUUAUGCAAAAGGUACAGCAGUAUGUGUGGAAGUGGAUCAGAUCAUGCAAAUCUGAAUGCUGAAUUCAAACAAAAGAACCUAAAAGAUAAGUGAUAAACAUUAAAUAGAUAUGUGGCUGAAAUCUCAAGUCAAGAUAAAAAAAAAUAAAAAAUAGAAAAUAAAAACUAAAAAUAAAAAUAAAUGAAGUAAUUAAAGAACCUUUAUCAUCUUAAACACAUGAUCUACUGUUGAAGUAAAAUAUUAUAUUACUUUUAAAACUUGUGUUUAUCAUCUUAAAUUUAAGUUGACAAACUCAAAAAAAAUAAUUUAACACCUAAACAGAACCAUUUUUAACACUCUAUUUUGUGCUUGUGUUUUUUAAAGAUAACUCAUUCUUGAACACACAUGCAUGAUGUUGUCCUCAAUCUUAAAAUUAUGUCAAUCUUUUGUGGAAUGAGAAGGCAGCCAACAUGGGCAUUGGUGUUGUCCUAAUGCAGCCUUCAUGAGGGCAUUGUCGCCUAGACCGGCAGGCUAUGUCCAUAUACAAAAAAAAAAAAAAAAAAGAACUAAUUGCCACUAUGCGCGUGAUAAAACGCCGACCUCUCGACAGCACACAUUAUAAUCAAGACAUACAAAAAAAAAAAAAAAAAAACUUAGAAAGCACCUUUUGGACCAGAAA